rnacentral:tRNA from 1 species
GAGGUCGUGGUGGAAUCGGCAGACACGCUACUUUGAGGGGGUAGUGAGCUUAGCUCGUGUGCGUUCAAGUCGCAUCGACCUCACCA